rnacentral:tRNA from 1 species
UCCCUGGUGGUUCAAUGGUUAAGACGCUGAGCUUCCAGUGCAGGGGCAUGGGUUCAAUCCCUAGUCAGGGAA